UACAGAGGUCUCAAGCGUUGUUCGGAUUCAUUGGGCGUAAAGGGUGCGUAGGCGGCGCGGUAAGUCGGAUGUGAAAUCUCGGGGCUUAACUCCGAAACUGCAUUCGAUACUACCGUGCUUGAGGACUGGAGAGGAGACUGGAAUUUACGGUGUAGCGGUGAAAUGCGUAGAUAUCGUAAGGAAGACCAGUGGCGAAGGCGGGUCUCUGGACAGUUCCUGACACUGAGGCACGAAGGCCAGGGGAGCAAACGGG
rnacentral:rRNA from 1 species